rnacentral:rRNA from 1 species
AACCGAGAACUCCUACGGGAGGCAGCAGUGGGAAAUAUUGGACAAUGGGCGAAAGCCUGAUCCAGCAAUGCCGCGUGAGUGAUGAAGGCCUUAGGGUUGUAAGGCUCUUUUACCCGGGAUGAUAAUGACAGUACCGGGAGAAUAAGCCCCGGCUAACUCCGUGCCAGCAGCCGCGGUAAUACGGAGGGGGCUAGCGUUGUUCGGAAUUACUGGGCGUAAAGCGCACGUAGGCGGCUUUGUAAGUUAGAGGUGAAAGCCCGGAGCUCAACUUCGGAAUUGCCUUUAAGACUGCAUCGCUUGAAUCAUGGAGAGGUCAGUGGAAUUCCGAGUGUAGAGGUGAAAUUCGUAGAUAUUCGGAAGAACACCAGUGGCGAAGGCGACUGACUGGACAUGUAUUGACGCUGAGGUGCGAAAGCGUGGGGAGCAAACAGGAUUAGAAACCCUAGUAGUCCGACUGAGA